rnacentral:misc_RNA from 1 species
GAUGAAGAACGUAGUGAAAUGCGAUAAGUAAUGCGAAUUGCAGAAUUCCAGUGAGUCAUCGAAUCUUUGAACGCACAUUGCGCCCUUUGGUAUUCCGAAGGGCAUGCCUGUUCGAGCGUCAUUAUCACCCCUCAAGCCCUCGGCUUGGUGUUGGAAGGUUUGGUGGAGGCCCCCUCGGGGGCUCCUGCCCCUCCCAAAGACAAUGACGGCGGCCUCGUUGGACCCCCGGUACACUGAGUUCUUCACGGGACACGUAUCGGACACAUGGGUUUACGGGACACGGUCUGCCUCCCCUCAGGGAGAAUCUUUCUAAGGUUGACCUCGGAUCAGGUAGGGAUACCCGCUGAACUUAAGCAUAUCAAUAAGCGGAGGA